AUCCAGGUCAAUGCCAAGUAGGAAUUCAAAACCGAGACGUGUUUGCUCCAUCCAGAGCGGCGUUUUCUGCUUGCCCCGAACGCAGGUUGCUUCCAUAUCCUGGCUAUUGUAAACAGUGCUGCGAUGAACAUUGGGGUACACAUGUCUCCUUCAGUUAAAGAUGAAAUUUUAACAUGCCAAAAAAUCAAGUAACAUGCACUCAAUGAAAAGGAAGAUUCAAAUUGAGUUUCUCCAGACUCCCAGACCCACAUUCUUUCCAAAACAUCCCACCAGCUCUCUUCCAGAAAACGGAACAGAAAAUGUCUGCAGAAACCCAAUGACCAUUCCAAGCCGUGCUGCAGAGGGAGACUGCACUGAAAUUAUCUUUGUGCAUGCCGUCUGUGCCCCCAAAUUUCCAUCAAGUUUGCUCUCUGCCGGACUGGUGAUGUGUUCCCAGCUGAGGACUUGGUAGAGUUGCAGGAGAAGUGAAAAGGAAAGGCCGUGAUCUGAAGGGCGCAUCCUUGGAAUAGAAAUUCCUUGGCCACUGAAAGUCAUCCUUGUGAAUGCCGGGCCGUCCUGCAGUUCAACGAGUAGCCCUUGUUGGAGACUUAGAUGCCGGACACGGUCGUGAGUGGCCCAGAUUCUCCAGCCCAGAAGUCUGCUCCCCGGGGAGGCUCUCCACCUUCCUUCAGGGACCCACUCUCUUAGGACAUACUCGGUUCUUUGGCAGCAAGCAACAGAAGCUGAUUCUGCUGCCCUGAUGGAGAAAAACAGGUUAUUAUUGGAAAGAUAUGGGGAACUCACAAAAUUGGUGGCAGUGGGGGAUAGCCGUGCCUCACAAGGGACAGAAACCCAGCAGGGUUAGGCAGUGUGGGUGGAAGGGAGUGAUAUCUCAUCCACAUGCCGCUGCAGGAGUGAAUCAACUUGACUUUAAAAAAUUUUUUGGUUCUUUUUUGUAAACUCAGAUAGAUGCAGAGAUAAGUCUCAAACCCACUCUGUCUGUGACCCCUGACCCCACAGGUCUGGGCAAGGCCUCUGUCUUGCUUUAUUUCAUACAUUUUCCUCAUUUGAUCCAUGACUCCCACUCUCCCCUCCACAGACAACUACCCUAAAUGUGCCUGGUUUACGUUCUGGAUGUGUACGUAUGCACAUGUAUGUAAGGGCUUCCCCCGUGCCUCACCAGUAAAGAACCUGCCUGUA